rnacentral:rRNA from 1 species
AUGGCGCGUUUUCAGGAAACCAAGCCGGAUCUGCUGAAUUCCGGCAGCGAUACGCGGAUGAUGGCCGAGGCCCGAGCCCCCAAGGCGCGGAAGCCGUACAUGAUAACCAAGCAGCGCGAGAAAUGGACCGAGGAGGAGCACAAGCUCUUCCUGGAGGCCAUGCAGCUCCAUGGCCGCGCCUGGCGCCGAAUUCAAGAGCACAUAGGCACCAAGACGGCCGUGCAGAUCAGGAGCCAUGCGCAGAAGUUCUUCUCCAAGGUCACCCGGGACUCGUCCGGCGACAGCGGCGGCAGCAGCUCCGGCGGUGCCGGGCCGCCGAUCCAGAUCCCGCCGCCGCGGCCCAAGAGGAAGUCGGUGCACCCGUACCCGUGCAACCAGAGGAGCGCGCAGCCGGGGAAGCACGCCCACGCCGCGCUCCUCCGGGUCGACAAGCCUCAGCUGUCCAUGUGUGAGCAGGGGAAUGGCUCGCCGACAUCCGUGGUGACCACCUCGCAGAUAGGCUUGGGCGGCUCCGAGAGCUUCGACAGCGACACCUCGACCAUCGACGUUGAAGAGCGAUGCCCCACGCCGAGCACGGGGACCGCCGAGGUCGCUGUGCUAGCGCCACCAACCAAUGAUUCCAAGAAAUCCAAGGGCAGUAGUGGUACUUCAGAAGAAGUGGUGUGUGACAACACGUCCGAUGCUCCGGUCCUGAAGCUGUUUGGAAAGACAGUUGUUGUGAAUGAAUCACAUCAGCUGCCAAACCCUGGCACUUGCAACCUGCAAACUGCCGCGGAUAUGGAACUGGAUACUUCGGCCGAGACACCCACCAGUGCACCAGAGGCGAACACAUGGAGCCCAUGGCUGGCAAACUCGCAGCAGUUCAUGUACUAUGUUCCUCAAGGGGCAGUUUUCUUCGGCUACAACAAUGGAAGUGUGCCGUACCCCGUGUCAUCAAGCCCCAAGGCAGAUCAACAGCACCAGCAACAUGCUUCCGAAGCCGCCGCCGAGCUUAGGCGGAGGGAAGCGUCGUCGAACACGGCCUCCAGCAGUGUGGCUGAAACAACAGCCCGGAAUUCUGCAGAGUCAUGCACGGGAGCGGUUGGCGGCGACGACGAAAUGGUGCAUGCUGCAGGUUUGAGAGAGCGUGUGAGCCCGGCCUUCGUCCAGCAGCGAGGUUUCAUGCCGUACAAGAGGUGCGCGGCCGAGAGCAAGGCGAUGCAGCCCCAGGCUCCCAGGGAGGAGGCGGAUAGAGAGAUGACGAGGCUCUGCUUGUAA